rnacentral:rRNA from 1 species
UACGAAGGGGGCUAGCGUUGCUCGGAAUCACUGGGCGUAAAGCGCACGUAGGCGGCUUUUUAAGUCAGGGGUGAAAUCCUGGAGCUCAACUCCAGAACUGCCUUUGAUACUGAGAAGCUUGAGUCCGGGAGAGGUGAGUGGAACUGCGAGUGUAGAGGUGAAAUUCGUAGAUAUUCGCAAGAACACCGGUGGCGAAGGCGGCUCUCUGGACCGAUACUGACGCUGAGGCGCGAAAGCGUGGGGAGCAAACAGG